AUUGAACGCUGGCGGCAGGCCUAACACAUGCAAGUCGAACGAGUGGCGGACGGGUGAGUAAUGUCUGGGAAACUGCCUGAUGGAGGGGGAUAACUACUGGAAACGGUAGCUAAUACCGCAUACCAUCGGAUGUGCCCACAUGGGAUUAGCUAGUAGGUGGGGUAAAGGCUCACCUAUGCGACGUUCCCUAGCUGGUCUGAGAGGAGGACCAGCCACACUGGAACGGAGACACGGUCCAGACUCGUACGGGAGGCAGCAGUGGGGAAUAUUGCACAAUGGGGGCAAUCCUGAUGCAGCCAUGCCGCGUGAAUGAAGAAGGCCUUCGGGUUGUAAAGUACUUUCAGCGGGGAGGCGUUACCCACAGAAGAAGCACCGGCUAACUCCGUGCCAGCAGCCGCGGUAAUUC
rnacentral:rRNA from 1 species